rnacentral:rRNA from 1 species
CCUACGGGAGGCAGCAGUGAGGAAUAUUGGUCAAUGGCCGAGAGCCUGAACCAGCCAAGUCGCGUGAGGGAUGACUGCCCUACGGGUUGUAAACUUCUUUUGUCGGGGAGUAAAGUGAGUCACGUGUGCCUCUUUGAGAGUACCUGAAGAAUAAGCAUCGGCUAACUCCGUGCCAGAAGCCGCGGUAAUACGGGGGAUCCGAGCGUUAUCCGGAUUUAUUGGGUUUAAAGGGGGCGCAGCGGGUGGUUAAAGUCAGCGGUAAAAUUGUGGGGCUCAACCUCAAACUGCCAUUGAAACUGGAAGUCUUGAGUGCAGUUGAGGUAGGCGGAAUGCGUGGUGUAGCGGUGAAAUGCUGAGAUAUCACGCAGAACUCCGAUUGCGAAGGCAGCAUACCAACGCGCAACUGACGCUGAUGCACGAAAGCGUGGGUAUCGAACAGGAUUAGAUACCCGUGUAGUC